GCAGUCAGAGAUCCCCAGGCUCACCGUGAAGGCCAGAGAGCACUGCCUGAGCCUCCUGCAGGAGGCAUUACAUGGCCACCAGGGGGCAGAAGAAGAUCCAUUCAACUGCGACACCCUGUCUUUAGCCGUGGAUCUGGAGCACGAGGUCUUCAAGAGCAGCAGUCGUCC